CAGCUGGUGCAUUUUGACUUUAAUAGCACUCCUUUUGAGCUGCAUGAUGAUAAUUACGUUCUUAAGGCAAUGAAAUUUUGCGAGAGACCACAGAGUGAUGAUAUGGCAUCCAAUCAAGCUACUGAUGGAGGUGAAGGUUCUAGCAUGUCCAACAUGUUCCAACAACAAAUCCUUCCUUCCCCAGGAACAAACACACCAGUUAGGCCACCCACCUCACCGCCUAUUCCUGGAAUUAUAAAAGCACGCAUUAAGCAUGAACAUUUUUAAGUGUGUUACCAUGGGCAAUAAUCUCAGCUGUGNUCUGUAAAUUGUGUAAAGUAGCUUGCAGGAGGUGGGAGUGCGCCUAUAAUUACCUUCACCUUCCUUAUUUGACCCCUCAUUGGGAGGAAUCCAGGUAACAAGCAGUUUCAGUCUCUUUGCCUAGGGACUUACAUGGAAUUUUUAAUUUUGUCAGGUUCCCAGGUUUAGAUCCAUGGCUGGCUAUUGUAAUUGUUUAAUCAUUUUUUUUCGCCUACUGAAGUGAAGGUAGUCUGUCAGUUUAUAUUAGGCUACAGGGGAUUUGACUUAGCAGCACACAGAAUCAUAGAAUUAAGCCAACAAUUUGAUAUUACUUGUAUUGCACA
rnacentral:misc_RNA from 1 species